UAUAAAUAAGAUGGCUACUUCUUCCUUCAACUGCAAUUAAAGAAAGAGAACUCUACAUUCUGAAUUAUUUUACAGAGAAAUGUUAUGGCUGCUUGCCUGGAUAAAAACAGGAUGUGUGAAGGAAAUGCAGCAUCCCAGCACAUGUCCCUUUUGAAUCCACAUAGAACAGAAACAACCAGAAAGGAUGGAGCUGAAGAGACAGAGAGAGAAUGCUGCACUAAGUCUUCUCACAAAACAUGGCAAAAGGACUUUGCUUCCAGUCAAGAAAACACAAGUGCACCAAACAAGAAGAAAAAGAAAGUCAGCACACCCCUUGAUUUGAUUCUUGCGCCUCAAAAAUUAUGACAGGCCUCUUCCAUUCUUGCCUUUGAUAAAACUCCAGUUCAGCACAAUGAGGUUGUACCAGCCUGUUGGUUAAUAGUCAGGCAGAGUGUUGCAGUCUAGAAAUACGGCUCAGCUGUAGGAUGAUACCAUUGUAUCACUGUGCUUCCCUGGGCGCAAGAUUUCCAGAGAUGUUUGUUGAAGAUUAUUUUCCAUUGAGGAGAACGUAUUGGAGAAUUAAAUGUGUUCUGUGUGUUCCCCCAGUUUCUCCUUAUUUUCAAAUAAAUACAGAAGAACCAGGUAUAUAGUUCUCAUUUUUAACAACAGAAUGGGUUUCAUAAAUAGCUGCAUUUCUGGGUGGUGUUACUCAGUACGGUAACUGGAGCCACCAGUUAUCAAAAACAUC